UACGAGGGGUGCUAGCGUUGUUCGGAAUUACUGGGCGUAAAGCGUGCGCAGGCGGCUUCUCAAGUCAGGGGUGAAAGCCCAGAGCUCAACUCUGGAAUUGCCUUUGAGACUGAGUGGCUUGAGUACGGGAGAGGUGAGUGGAAUUCCCAGUGGAGAGGUGAAAUUCGUAGAUAUUGGGAAGAACACCGGUGGCGAAGGCGGCUCACUGGCCCGUAACUGACGCUCAUGCACGACAGCGUGGGGAUCAAACAGG
rnacentral:rRNA from 1 species